AGUGAACGCUGGCGGUAGGCCUAACACAUGCAAGUCGAACGGCAGCACAGUAAGAGCUUGCUCUUACGGGUGGCGGGUGGCGGACGGGUGAGGAAUACAUCGGAAUCUACUUUUUCGUGGGGGAUAACGUAGGGAAACUUACGCUAAUACCGCAUACGACCUACGGGUGAAAGCAGGGGAUCUUCGGACCUUGCGCGAUUGAAUGAGCCGAUGUCGGAUUAGCUAGUUGGCGGGGUAAAGGCCCACCAAGGCGGCGAUCCGUAGCUGGUCUGAGAGGAUGAUCAGCCACACUGGAACUGAGACACGGUCCAGACACCUACGGGAGGCAGCAGUGGGGAAUAUUGGACAAUGGGCGCAAGCCUGAUCCAGCCAUACCGCGUGGGUGAAGAAGGCCUUCGGGUUGUAAAGCCCUUUUGUUGGGAAAGAAAAGCAGCAGGUUAAUACCCCGCUGUUCUGACGGUACCCAAAGAAUAAGCACCGGCUAACUUCGUG
rnacentral:rRNA from 1 species